rnacentral:lncRNA from 1 species
CCAUGUGAGGACCUCAUCUUAGAUUAUUUUCUACACUGAACAUCAAGUGAGGAGGUCCACUAGUAAAUACAAAUUAUAUUUCUGCACACGUACAGGGAUGAUCACUAAUUAAUUCAACAUAUCAACCAAGAAAUUUCGAAUAAUCAUGACUAAUCAAAUUAUCGCUACUUAUAUCAAUUAAUCCUAGCUGAAAUAUUUCUGGAAUAAUAAAUAUCAUAGCAAAAGAAGAAUAGACACAC